rnacentral:misc_RNA from 1 species
UGUCUGUCCGUGGUGCCACGCACCACAUACGUGUGAAAAGUCGUGGAAACAGGCUCGCAACUCCACAUUAGCUUACUGUCGUCGUGCAUGCCAUUCUACUCUCUUGGCUGCACCACAGCACAUGCUCCGGCGUAGGUGGGGCGCGCACAGGGCAAAGCAUCGCUUUGUCGACCGCGUCAAGGUGCUACUCUGCAGCGGAGCUGGCGGCGAUGGUGCAAGCAUCAUGGCUCACGAGCACGGCAACGAGUUUGCCGGCCCAGGCGGCGGUAAUGGAGGCAACGGCGGUAAUGUGAUGCUGCAAUGCGUCAAGCAGCACACUGACCUCAGUCAUAUCGAGGACCUGGGUAGCCAGAUCUCCGCCGGCGCAGGCUUCUGCGGCUUCUCUCGUGAGGCGCACGGCAAGCGCGGACAGGAUCUGUGGCUGCAGCUGCCGCUGGGGACCCAGGUAGUGGACAUGGACACGAACGAAGUGCAGUACGACAUGGAUGAGGAGGGGAUGCAGAUUGUGCUGCUGGAAGGCGGCCAGGGCGGCAAAGGCAAUGCCGCCUUUGCGAACAAAUGGCACCACUCUCCCAUCGAGUCCACCAAGGGGCUGCCGGGCAACACGAUGCUCGCCCAAAUCGAGCUGAAAACCAUCGCCGACUGCGGCCUCAUUGGCUACCCGAAUGCUGGCAAGUCGUCCUUGUUGUCCGCCAUCAGCGCCAGCAAACCCACCAUUGCCCCGUACGCCUUCACAACCCUACGCCCGUAUGUUGGCGUGCUUCACGACCUCUAUGGGAAUGUGUGCCGCGUCGCGGACAUUCCGGGCCUCAUCGAAGGUGCCUACGAGAACCGCGGUCUGGGUCAUCAGUUUCUGCGCCACGUGGAGCGUACAAAGUGUCUUGCCUUGGUGGUGGACAUGUGCGACACGUACGUCCCCGACACGGGCUCGCGCAACUCCUCCGGGGUGCUGCAGCCGUGGGACGUGGUGGAACUCCUUCUCCAGGAACUGGAGUACUACCUCCCCGGCAUGAGCCAGCGCGUCAUCAUGACCUUCGCCAAUAAAAUGGACAUCGAGAAGGAUAGCACUGGCACUGACACGCAGGUAAAGCUCUCGGAGCUCAAGCGGCGCGUGUCGAUGCCGGUGUUCCCGAUCUCCGCCGCCCUCGGCAUCCACCUUGGACCACAGCACGAGCAAACUGGGCUGGCCCCAGCCUUGCAGUUCAUGUGUGGAGAAGUGUUUGCGCGCCAGUCGCACGAGCGCGAGAUGCAACAGUUCCGCUUCUCACACGAACGCGCACAGCUUGAACGAGCCUUCCGCGCCAAGCACAACGGCGUCUUUCUACCCCAGGUGCACGCCUUGGGUGCACACGGAGCAGAAGCCUCCCAAGACCUAGACGACGAGGCUGCCAGUCGCGGUGGCUCGCUGGUGGACCAGCAACUCGAUUUUUUGGGUAACAGCGGUCUUGGUGUGGAGUUUGAUGCCUACGAGAACUCUGCUGCGCGGGGCCAGCUGCACCGCUACCGCGAUCUCACCAUGAAGGGCAAGUACUGGAAUCUGACCCGGCAAGAUGGCGAGGUGAUGAAGGGAGAGAAGUGGAGCUGACACACUCAAGACGGGGGAAUGAGACUGGGCGAGGCAUGGGCCGUGCGCUUCCUGACCGCCCCCGCCUCCCCUCAUCCCUCAUCCCCAUUAUUCUCCACCGUCCUACCCGCUACUUUUCUGGUCACAGAUGCGCUCAUGCUUGCACGUAUGCACAAUCCCGUUGGCGCGUAUGCGCGAAGGCUGCUGUGCUUGUGCAAAUGCCGCUACAUAGAACUGCCACACCGGGGCUGCCCCGCCUACCUGCCCGACCAUCUUUUCGGGUUUGCCUUUCUUUGGGGAAAAGGGGAAGUGUCCGGACCUGGUGCGUAAGAGGGCAGCUGCAAAGUACACUUUGUGAAUCUAAAUCUUCA